UCUAGAAUAGUCUACAAUGGUCGAAAGACUGAUAGUGCGACGCCGCGUGAACGAAGAAGCCCUUCGGGGUGUAAAGUUCUUUUAUAUGUGAGCAAUGCCAGAUAGGUGAAUAGUCUGUUUGGAGCGAUAUUAGCAUAUGAAUAAGCAACGGCUAACUCCGUGCCAGCAGCCGCGGUAAUACGGAGGGUGCAAGCGUUGUCCGGAAUCAUUGGGCGUAAAGCGUUCGUAGGCGGCAUAUCAAGUCUGGUGUUAAAGCCCGGAGCUCAACUCCGGAUCGGCACUGGAUACUGGUAAGCUAGAAUGAGGUAGAGGUAAUGGGAAUUCCUGGUGUAGCGGUGAAAUGCGUAGAUAUCAGGAGGAACACCGGUGGCGUAAGCGCAUUACUGGGCCUUUAUUGACGCUGAGGAACGAAAGCCGGGAGAGCAAAUG
rnacentral:rRNA from 1 species